rnacentral:rRNA from 1 species
CAGCCGCCGCGGGAAUACAGAGGGUGCGAGCGUUAAUCGGAUUUACUGGGCGUAAAGCGUGCGUAGGCGGCUUCUUAAGUCGGAUGUGAAAUCCCUGAGCUUAACUUAGGAAUUGCAUUCGAUACUGGGAAGCUAGAGUAUGGGAGAGGAUGGUAGAAUUCCAGGUGUAGCGGUGAAAUGCGUAGAGAUCUGGAGGAAUACCGAUGGCGAAGGCAGUUAUCUGGCCUAAUACUGACGCUGAGGUACGAAAGCAUGGGGAGCAAACAGGAUUAGAUACCCCGGUAGUCCCUGUCUCUUAUAC